AUUGAACGCUGGCGGCAGGCCUAACACAUGCAAGUCGAGCGGAUGAAGGGAGCUUGCUCCUGGAUUCAGCGGCGGACGGGUGAGUAAUGCCUAGGAAUCUGCCUGGUAGUGGGGGAUAACGUCCGGAAACGGGCGCUAAUACCGCAUACGUCCUGAGGGAGAAAGGGGGGGAUCUUCGGACCUCACGCUAUCAGAUGAGCCUAGGUCGGAUUAGCUAGUUGGUGGAGUAAAGGCCUACCAAGGCGACGAUCCGUAACUGGUCUGAGAGGAUGAUCAGUCACACUGGAACUGAGACACGGUCCAGACUCCUACGGGAGGCAGCAGUGGGGAAUAUUGGACAAUGGGCGAAAGCCUGAUCCAGCCAUGCCGCGUGUGUGAAGAAGGUCUUCGGAUUGUAAAGCACUUUAAGUUGGGAGGAAGGGCAGUAAGUUAAUACCUUGCUGUUUUGACGUUACCAACAGAAUAAGCACCGGCUAACUUCGUG
rnacentral:rRNA from 1 species